rnacentral:tmRNA from 1 species
GGGGCUGAACGGUUUCGACUUCGCGCAUCGAAUCAAGGGAAGCGUGCCGGUGCAGGCAAGAGACCACCGUAAGCGUCGUUGCGACCAAAUAAGCGCCGAUUCACAUCAGCGCGACUACGCGCUCGCUGCCUAAGCGACGGCUAGUCUGUCAGACCGGGAACGCCCUCGGCCCGGACCCUGGCAUCAGCUAGAGGGAUCCACCGAUGAGUCCGGUCGCGGGACUCCUCGGGACAACCACAGCGACUGGGAUCGUCAUCUCGGCUAGUUCGCGUGACCGGGAGAUCCGAGCAGAGGCAUAGCGAACUGCGCACGGAGAAGCCUUGAGGGAAUGCCGUAGGACCCGGGUUCGAUUCCCGGCAGCUCCACCG